CUACGAAAAAAACAAAGAAGAUAGAAGUCUGACUUGGAAAGCAGAGCAAGGUUAAAGGUUCUGUUCUUCGAUCGGAGGAAGAGAAGAAAGAUGUCAGCUCCUGUGAUCCUAAACGAUGCGACGAGGAGGGAUGCUAGAAAGGCGCACGCUGCAAUGACCUUGUGUCAGCUAAUCUUCGGAGCUUAUCAUGUGAGUGCCAAAGUAGCUCUUAACGUUGGUAUCAGUCAGCUCGUCUUCUGUGUCUUCCGCGAUCUUAUUGCUCUCUCCAUCCUCGCUCCUCUCGCUUUUUUCCGCGAAAGAGGGAUCAGACCUCCUAUGAGUAGAAGCGUUCUCUUUUCAUUCUUCUUCCUAGGUUUAACAGGGAUAUUUGGGACUCAAUUACUAUUUCUUAUGGGUUUACAAUACACGAAUCCAACUUAUGCCGCUGCUAUACAACCAUCUAUCCCUGUCUUCACCUUUCUAUUGGCUGUAAUGAUGGGUACAGAAAAAGUGAACUUGUAUAAAAUGGAGGGCCUAAUGAAAGUUGGAGGCACUAUCGUUUGUGUUUCCGGUGCCUUAGUGCUGGUUUUCUUCCGUGGCCCAUCCUUGUUUGGAAGUCAAGAUGCAGAUUUUACGCUAAAAACUGUAAUUAUUAAUAGCAGUGAACAUGAGUUUCAUGGUUGGUUAGUUUCGAGUUUUAUUGGUCUUGGGCUUGAUCUAUGGCACAUUGGAGUUAUAUGCUUGGUUGGAGGAUGCAUGUGUAUGGCUUCUUUUCUCGCUGUCCAAGCACCGGUUUUGAAAAAGUAUCCUGCCUAUCUUUCCGUUACAGCGUACUCAUACUUCUUUGGUGCAUCAAUAAUGAUCACAACAGCGUUUGUGUUUGUUAGAGAGCCUAAAGAGUGGCAUUUGACACAAUCCGAGUUUCUUGCCGUUAUAUUUGCGGGAGUGUUUGCAUCAGCUCUGAACUAUGGAAUCUUGACUUGGUCUAAUAAAAUACUUGGAGCUGCUUUGGUUUCUCUGUACAACCCUCUUCAGCCUGUAGCAUCCACCUUUUUAUCUACGAUAUUCCUCGGCAGUCCAAUCUAUCUUGGAAGCGUUGUGGGUGGAGUACUCAUCAUUUCAGGGCUUUAUAUGGUUACUUGGGCAUCUUAUAGAGAACAGCACACAACAGGUUCAGGAAUUGUGAUUACUUCUUCAAGUGAUAAGACGUACCAAAUUAGCAACAGAGAUGAUAGAUAAGUUUUUAUUUGGUUACGUGCGCAUCAUAGAGAGAACAACACACAACAGUUCAGGAAACGUGAUUGCUUCUUCUAGUGAUCUGCUUGCUUGAUUUUUCAUUCACUGAGGCAGUAGCAAAUUAUCAAUAAUGUUGAUAGAUAAGUUCUAAUUUGGAAAUAGCCAAACAGAAACGAGAUCAUGGCUAUUAUUGUCAAGAAAUGACGAGUCAAUAUUAGUGGCUGAUGUUGCAAAUUGCAAGAACAUAAUUGUUGAAAAACAGAAGAAGAAAGUGGAUUAUUUGAAGGGAUACAAAUAUAGCCAAUUGUUUUUGGCUGAACAUUUCCA